CCUGUGUUUCAUGGGUCACCAGAGGUUUCUCCAGUGGUCUACCAUCUAUUGCCUCAACGGCCAAGGGUGUGUCCUUUCGGAUCAAAGUCAGGGCUGCGGUUUUGGCAAAGUUCUCAUCCAUAAGGUUGUCUGCCGCACCUGAAUCGAUCAAAGCUUUGGUUGUUAUAGUGGUUUUAUUGACCAAAAGAGAAACCGUAAUAAACGGUCUGGAGAUGGACACAUGAGGGGACAAAGUCAUAACACCCGAGGCCGACCCCUCUCUAGGACUUAGGUGCUGCAGUUUCCCUGUACUUUAGGGCAGGCAUUACAGUGGUGCCCCCUCCUCCCACAAUAAAGGCAUAACCCCUCCCUUCUACGGUACACUCUUUCGGCCUCAGUUAACCCCGUAGCACCCAACUGCAUGGGUUCAGGGGAUGGUUGUCUAGGAGCGGGUAACGCUAGUAGUGCAGCACUGGGUAGAGCAGGUAACACCCGUGUAUCUUUGACUACGCCUCUCUCUAAUACGGUUAUCGAUAAGAAUCACAUAGUCUAUAACAUCAUCUAGAAGAACAGGCAAUUCCCU